AAGGGAUUCACUAGUUCCGCAACGUUCCCAAUUGCAAUAUCAUUUUUUCUCGAAAAUAAUUUUCACAACUGCUCUACAUAUUGUCAAACAACAAUUAUAUUGCGACAUUAAACGGUCAUAAUUUUGGGUAACAGAAAUUUAUCAUUAACAUAUGAUAAAUAUACUACUAUGAUUCAUCCCUUCGUUACAAUGAGUUUAGGUUGCAUUACCUUAUUCAUGACUCUGACAAAUACUCGGAUGAUAGCACGGUACACAUUACCUUUGCCAACAUAUAAUUAGCAAGAGAGACAACCCAAUAUAUACAAAAUGUAACAAGUGUAAAAGGUAUGAUUUAUUAUUAGCUCUUGUAACAAGUGUAAAAUAUCAAAUGCUUGAAACUAAAAAGCAAUAAGUAGACCUCAUAUUGGGAAGAUAACAAUAAAAUGAAAAGUACUUCAACCUUGGAGCUACAUAUUUAAUGGUAAACAUAAUUUUAAUCUUUGUAUCCUAAAAUAGUAACUACAAACUUGAAUAAAUGGUCCAUUGAUUAGGAAAUAGUUCAACUUUAAUUGGAAAGAGUUACAACUUUAACUUCAAAGUAUAAGCAAAUUGACACAUUAUUCAAACUGACUUUAAAUUUGUCCAUCAAAUCUUUUUCUAUUUUGUAACUCCUUAUCUGCUGCCAUUGGUAAAUUACAAAUAAUUUUAAUUUGAAUAUAACAUAUUUUCCUAUUCUAAACUGCAUGUUGAUUAUAUCAUGUCAUUAC
rnacentral:lncRNA from 1 species